CAGGCCUUGACAUCCAAUGAACUUUCCAGAGAUGGAUUGGUGCCUUCGGGAACAUUGAGACAGGUGCUGCAUGGCUGUCGUCAGCUCGUGUCGUGAGAUGUUGGGUUAAGUCCCGUAACGAGCGCAACCCUUGUCCUUAGUUACCAGCACGUUAUGGUGGGCACUCUAAGGAGACUGCCGGUGACAAACCGGAGGAAGGUGGGGAUGACGUCAAGUCAUCAUGACCCUUACGGCCUGGGCUACACACGUGCUACAAUGGUCGGUACAGAGGGUUGCCAAGCCGCGAGGUGGAGCUAAUCCCACAAAACCGAUCGUAGUCCGGAUCGCAGUCUGCAACUCGACUGCGUGAAGUCGGAAUCGCUAGUAAUCGCGAAUCAGAAUGUCGCGGUGAAUACGUUCCC
rnacentral:rRNA from 1 species